UACGGAGGGGGCAAGCGUUGUUCGGAGUUACUGGGUUUAAAGGGUGCGCAGGCGGUUGUUUAAGUCAGGGGUGAAAGCCCUAUGCUCAACAUAGGGAUUGCCUUUGAUACUGAACGGCUAGAGUGAAGAUGGAGUGGGUGGAAUGUGUUGUGUAGCGGUGAAAUGCAUAGAUAUAACACAGAACACCGAUCGCGAAGGCAGCUCACUAAUUUUCAACUGACGCUCAUGCACGAAAGCGUGGGUAGCAAACAGG
rnacentral:rRNA from 1 species